ACGGCCAUACCAUGCUGAAUAAUAAGGCCCCGGUUCUCGUUAGAUCACCGAAGGUAUCAUUGGGCGCGGUCAGUACUCGGUGGAUGACCACCUGGGAACACCGCGUGCCGUU